ACCGAAGCGAACGUAUUCCAAAUUUGUUUAAAAACCCCGGCCGGCUAACUGGACUCGGCGCCAGACUGAUCAAUACUUGAACUGUCGGGCGACAUCUCCCCCAAGUGUCGCGCCGGUAAAGGUACCAAGGGACCGCGUGCCUUUGUUUUACUCCUAAUGGUCUUAACCCGGAUUCACCCCCCAGAACCCGG
rnacentral:sRNA from 17 species